GCUGGCCGUCCUUGCUUUUCCUUCCACCCUCGUCCUUCGCUACAUAUCUUACAUGUUCCUUGGGUCCAUUGGAUGAUUUAGUUCCUAGGUCACUGUUGGAUCUAUGUUGGAUGUGCUUUUCCAUGAUGGGGUUGUUUCGGGUUCUCGUUCGUUUGGGUCUGGAUUUCGUUGGCGUGCCCUUCCUUUGGGUCCUGGUCGGAUCGAUUGUUCGUAGGAUGGGGAUUUGAUUUUGUCGGGUUUCCCCCCUUUAUUUCCAAAUGUUCUCCUGUGUGGUCUUGCCUUCUGUGGUUUCCCUGCCCGAGUUCUUCCGCUGGUCGUCCUUGUGUUUCCUUUCAUCUUUGUGCUUUGCAACGGGCUUUGCCUGUUUCUUGGGUCAACUGGAUUAAGUUUCUAGGUUACGGUCGGAUCUAUGAUGGGUGUGCUUUUUCCUGAUGGGUUUGUUUCGGGUUCUCAUUCAUUUGGGUGUGGGCAUCGUCGGUUUGUCCAUCCUUUGGGUGCUGAUCGGAUCGAUUGUUCACUGGAUGGGGCUUGAUUUCCUCAGUUCUCUAUGGACCUUGAUUGUUUCUUGGGUCCAUUGGAUUCAGUUUCUAGGUUAGGGUCGGAUCUAUGUUGGAUGUGCUUUUUCCUGAUAGGGUUGUUCCAAGUUCUCGUUCAUUUGGGUGGUGAUUUUGUUGGUCUGCCUUUCCUUUGGGCACUGGUCGCGUCGAUUGUCUGUCAGAUGGAGAUUCAUUUUCUUGGUUUUCCCCUUUUAUUUUGAGAUGUUCCUCUUCGUGUUCUUGCUUUCCUCUAUGCUUCUUUCUUUGUUGUUGGUUCUUGGUUGUGAUGUUGGUCUGUUUUUGGUCACCCUUUGUUGUUUCCCCCCUAUGAUUGAGCCUAGGGUUGAUUCCAUCACUUGUUUUGGUUCCUUUUCAAUCCCUUUCCUGGGUUCACUCUAUGUAUAGUUCAUUUUUGUUCCUUUCGUGGGUUCACCCUAUGUAUGGUUUGGCGUGUGAUUUGCCUUCCUUUUCUUUGGUUGGUCUCAGCUCCAAAGAUCAUCGCCUCAGAUCUUGUUGCUACCUUUCUUUGCGGAGUUGCGCUCUUGGUGCUUGCUCGUGUGUUUUUCCAUCUGGAGUAACCAUGGAGGGUAUGGGUUGAGAUGGAAGGAGGCGUACAGUGUGCCUGGCCGUUAGAUUCCAUUGCAGCCCCUGGUCCAUCCGCAAGGAUUGGGAUCUUGAGGUACACAGCUAUUUUGUAUGCGGUUCUUUUACCUACUAUUUUCUAGACCUCUCGGCUUUCUGGUCGGUUUGUCGGACUUUCAUUGCGGUUUAAUCUGUUAUGAUCAAGGUGAGAUCAAAGAAGGGCCUUGUGAUUCUAAUUAAAAAUGAAGAUGGUUCGUCCAGCUCGAAGACUAAAGAUGUCGAUCUCUAUGCGCAAAGAUAUACACUCACGGGGUAGACACUGGGCUGUUUGUACAAGGGUCUCAAGGAUGUGUGAUUAUCGUGGAGGUACCGAUGAUGGUGAUGUGCGGCAUGUUGACCUUGUCAUGAUAGAUGCUGAGGGGAUUGCUAUGUAUGCUGAGAUUAGAUCAGACAAUGUGAGGGAUAAGAAACCUUUGUUUGCUGAAGGGAAGAUGUACAUGCUGAAGAGGUUUAGGGUUCUCAAGUCUAAGGCUUCUUACAGACCUGUUGACUCAGAGUUCAUGAUUGAGAUCACUUUCCACACCUUGGUUGAAGAAAAGCAUAACUUUCAAUCUGAUUUCCCAAUGUACACAUACAACCUGACGAAAUUCCCUGAUUUGCCUGCACUUGUUGGUGGCUGAUGCGACACAAUCCAGCUCCAUAAUCAGAGUAGCCCUAUGGUUCGAAGAGCGAUUACACUGAGAGACAUUAGCAACUAUGAGGUGAAAUUUUACUUUUGGGGUAAGAGAGCUUCCAAAUUUGAUGCUCCUAAGCUGUAUGCAGUUGGGCAAGAAGAGCCAGUCAUUGCUAUCUUUGUUGGAACACUUACGAAAUCUUGCAAAGGUGUGGUGCUACACAGCUGGAUGUGGUUUUGACUCCACAACCUAUUGUCGUAUCCUUUUUUUUAGAGUUACUAAUGCAUAUGUGAUUUUUUACAAGCGAGCAUUCACUGAGUGGGAAUACUGCUUGUUGGUGGUACAUUAAUCCUGAUGUUCCUGAAGUCCACGCUUUUUUAGCUAGCCUGCACGACAGUUUUCAGGCUAUACAAUGCGUUGCAGCAGAUGAACAACCAACUAUUCUCCCACAUGUGAACGUUGAUCCCUAGCAUAAAACUUUAGAGGGCAUAUUUAAGAUUAGUCCAUAUGACCUCCCAAUUAAGUAUCCUUUGCAAUUGUGUCUUCCAUUGUUCGUACGCUAUGUUAUACAACCCAUUCUGUGAAAGGGUUUAUUAGUCUCUUACUAAUUGUAGCCUGAGGGUUUCCGAUGCACCAUUACUAUUUCAAGAGUCGAUCCAUUCCUAUCUUGGUGUUUCCCGUCAUGCAACCGCUGCAGUAAGAUUGCACUUCCUGAUGGGAGUGGAUAUAAAUGUCCACACUGCAAAUGCACAGGCUCUAAAUUCAAGUAAUGAUUUCUUCUUGCACAUAUGUGUAUCUCUUAUGAAUUCUCCUGUUAGAAUUAGAUAACCCGUUUUGUUCCCACAUUGGUUGAUGGUUUACCCUCAUUAAAGACCCAAGAUAUGCUUGAUGGGGACCAAUGGCACAAAUGAAGCAUAAUUUGUGCUUUUUGGUGAUGUGGGUCGUCGCCUUGUUUGUAAAGAUGUCAAGGUGCUGAUGAGGUCUUAUCACGACGCUGAUGGUAUUCCAAGUGAAAUAGCCUCGUUGGUAUCCGAAAAGUAUCAGUUUACAGUUAAUGUAAGUAGCAAAUGCUUUCAAAAGCCACAACGAUCAUACGAGGUUAAGCACAUCUAUUGUGCCUACAACUACCAAACUGCCAUUCCAACAGUUAGGAGGUCAAGUGCUACGCUUGCUCAUGGCAAACUACCAUUACAACAGUUAGGAGGUCAAUUGCUAUAGAACUACACAAAGACCAACAUGUUGAAGUCCCUGCUCUACCUCAGAUACAGUGGACACCCAAGUGAUGGUGAAAGAGGGAGAAAUGUAUGCAAGCGAUUACUUAUGGAUGGAGAUUCAACUGACGGGGGUUUAAACAAGCAUGGUGAUUCUCUUGAUGAUGGCCUAGUCUUGCUUGGGUUGCUCAAGGGGAAAAAACUGCCAUAAGUUUAUCAAGUGGUGGUUGUAUUCUUUCUGGUUUUAAUAUGACUAGCGCAGGAGCAUGCAGCCCAGAAAUCUAACCUGCUGGCAUUUUGGUUGUGAAUACGAACUUAAUGGCCAGCACCUUCGUUUUGAUGUCAAGAUGGCUCUGAGCUAGAACCUGUUGAUGCUCAGCCUUUGUGUAUAUAAUCACCAUAGCGAUUAGGAUCGUCACCAUGCGGCCUGAUGCUUCUGUAAUAGAAUACGCUCUGUCGCAAUAACACACUUGGCAUAUUUCAAA